UACGUAGGGUGCGAGCGUUAAUCGGAGUUACUGGGCGUAAAGCGCGCGCAGGCGGCUCGGCAAGCAUGGCGUGAAAGCCCCCGGCUCAACCGGGGAGAGUCGUCGUGGACUGCCGGGCUUGAGGGCGGUAGGGGUUGGUGGAAUUCCCGGUGUAGUGGUGAAAUGCGUAGAGAUCGGGAGGAACACCCGUGGCGAAGGCGGCCAACUGGGCCGACCCUGACGCUGAGGCGCGAAGGCGUGGGGAGCGAACGGG
rnacentral:rRNA from 1 species